CAAUUUUGGGGUACAAGAAGGGACACCAGCCCGGGAGGCCUGGUUCCUGCAAAAAGAAGGUGAAAGCCGGGCCCAAGAAAUGAGGAUGCGAUCAGAGCUUUCUGUCAUGGUUUUGGGAGGAAGACCACAGAGGUAAAGUGCCAUUGUCAUCACAUCAGAGGUGCAUCGUAUCCCUGUGACCGACCACUGUGGUUGUUGUCUUUGAUCACCUGUCUGAGGUGGUGACUGUCAGCUUCCCCACAGAGCACAGGCUCCGGACACGCAGGCUCAGU